rnacentral:lncRNA from 1 species
GGUGACCAACUAGUCCUAAGCAUUGGCAAUUAAAAAAAAUAAUGCAUUAGGGUUUUAUUCAGAAGGCAAAUACAAAAGGUUUAAAACCCUAAAAUAAGGUUUUAUUUGCAUCUGCAAAACAAUUUGAUUCAAAAUAUUUCUUUCUCUGCGCUUCCCCUUUUUCUUUCUUUUAGCCUUUUCUUUUUCCCUUUUUCUUAUUUCUUUGAUAUCGUUUGAUUUUGAUCUCCAAAUUGGUGCAAAUAAAUUCCAAAAAAUUUGUAAAAUCAUGUUUUAUUAUGAUUCAACUUUUGGGAGUAGUUUCCCCUCAAAAUAAAAUAUACAAAAAUACAUUUGCCCUAUAAAUGCCUUUAGGGCUAAAUAACUAUUUAAAUAAAAUAGUUUUUCAACUCCAAAAAUUAUCCAAAAAUUAUGGGAUAGCUCAUUUAUGCAAUGAAACCCCUUUUAUAAAUAAACCUUGUUGGUUUGAAGAUCCAAAGCUCAAAUGGGUGAAAACCCUAGGGUUUAAAUUGAAAUUAAAUCUUUCCAAAGCCUUUUGAGAUUCAAAUUUGAAUUCAAAUAUGCAAUUGUGGCAUGAUGCUCAUGGAUGCAAUGCACAUGUAAGAAUUUGAAUUUUUGGGAUGUUACAGACCUAACCCCCUUAAGAUGAAUCUCGUCCUCGAGAUUCGGUGUGGCUAGCAAAGAGGUAUGGGUGGUCUUCUCGAAGAUCAUCUUCGCGUUUCCAAAUGGCUUCCUCUUCAGUGUGAUGCUCCCACUGAACUUUGCAAAACCUGAUGGUCUUGGAUCGGGUUUGUCUCUCAGCUGUAUCCAAGAUUCUGAUAGGUUUCUCCUCAUAGGUGAGGUCACUUUGCAGUUGGACUUCCUCUAGAGGUAUUGUAUCCCUU